GUGCUUGCUUUGGCAGCACAUAUAUUAAAAUUGGAAUAGUACAGAGAAGAUUAGCAUGGCCCCAAGCAAGGAUGACACACAAAUUCAUGAAGUAUUCCAUAUUACA
ensembl:snRNA U6 U6 spliceosomal RNA